rnacentral:lncRNA from 1 species
AGAACCUCAUUUAUACAAUACAGCCUAACUCAAAAAUAUCUUUUAGGUGAAGGGUCUUCCAGACUAUAACUGCAGACCAGGCUACCCAAAAGUAUCCCUGAUAUAUGAGCUACCUUCUCCAGUACCUUCGAAGUCCUACUCCUUAGGUACUCGAGAUUAAGAUCAUCGCCCAAAAGGCUAAAGAAGGAAACAAAGGACAGCAUGGAGACUGCCGCCCUGGCACUGCAUUCUAGAAGACGUUUUAAUUGAAGAACUACUCGGAUUCAAAUUGCUCAUGAUGAAGGAAGAUGAUAAUGACUACUUCUGGAAUAACACAAUUUUAGAGCUCAAACAGACCUCAGCAGCCUUCUGGUCCAACUCAUAGCUAAAAAAGAAAUGAUGAUGUGAAAGAUGUAUAAUCAUGGGUUCUUAUGAUUCUAUGGGACUUAAAAAAGUAAUCUUUUUUUGGUACACUUGCAUAUUUUAAAGUUUUAUUGAUGUCUUUUGCAUUUACAUUAUAUUAAUUUCUGAAUAUACCUCUCCUGUCUUCUAUCAGUGAGCCUUCCCUUAUAACAAAGAUUGAAAAAGGAAAAAAAAAACAGUUGAGUAAAACCAACAAGCAAGUCAUCUGUAUCUGACAGCAUAUGUAACAUUUUGUAUC